UUUUUUCUUCUCUUUUUAUUGCUUUUUAAUAUUAUAUUUUUCAUUAGGAUUAACCACUUUAGGAUCUCAUAUACACCCCAAAUCUCUCAGAGAAUAAACGUUGAAGCUAGUGUUCCUCUAAGGUAGGAAAACGGAAGAUGAGUAUAUAUAAAGUAUGUCUAUUAGAUUUGAUACGUGCUAUAGAGUAGUCUUCAAAAGCCUUGGCAUUUAAGGAAAGAAGAUACAUGGGAAUAAGACCUUCAAUUGAUAUGUUACACAAUCUGAUGAAAAAGAAAGUGACUUUACCAGCAUGAACAGUUAUAGUAGAGGAAGUGGUCUACAACAUAUAUAUGGAGUACACUCUUUGAGCUUUUAUUGGUGAUAUAAAGACCAUCCGCUUAAAGCAUUACUUUUCCUUUGUUGGUGAAGAAGUUAGCACGGACUUUAGAGCAAAAAGCUCUCACAAG
rnacentral:lncRNA from 1 species